rnacentral:lncRNA from 1 species
CUUGAAGAAUAAUAGUAGUAAGUUGAUAAAAAUUUUGUACAUACACUAAGAAUAUUUUUUUUAUUGCUUUUUUAAAUAAAAAAAAAAAAUAGUAUAUAUAAUAUAUGAUAGUAAUAUUUUUAUGUAACUGUUUUAAAUAGUUUACAAAAAAAAAAAAGAAAAUGCACAUAUGUAUAUAUGUAAUAAAAGUGUGUUGACAGUGUGUAUAUAUAUACAUAUAUAUAUGCAUGUACUUAUUUGAUAAUUUCAAGUCUUUUUACUGCUAGUAAAAUAAUUAUACACAAUUAUUUUACUCUAUAUUUGUUAUGAUAUGUGUUUAACAAAGUGUUAUACUAAUAAAUGUAUGUGUAUAUAUAUAUAUAUAUAUAUAUAUAUAUAUAUAUAUAUAUAUAUAUGUAUAGGUGUGUAUAUAUAUAUACAAAAUAAUUUGUUACAUAUAUAUAUAUAUAUAUAUAUAUAUAUUUCCAUAUCAUUUUUAAUCCACAAUAUUGUUACACUUGACUUUGAACCUCAUACUGUAUUUAUUUUUAAUAGUGUGCUUUUGUACAGUUGCAUAUAUUUUUGUAUUUAUUAAUAUGUAUAACUUUAUGCAUAUUAUGGUAAUAAUAACCAUUUUAGACAAGGUGUAUAUUUUAUAAUCACAAUAAUAAUGUGUCAUUCUGUUGGUAAAUAAAACAUAUACAUAUAAAUAAGCUCAAAAUAACAUUAUUUUUUUAUCUAAACCAAAAGAGAUGGAGCAUAGUGAAAAUUUAAAAAGGUAAGUUUCUUUUUUUUUAUCUGUUAUAAAUCUUUGAAUUUACCGAUAUUUUGCACUUUUUUAUUAUUACAUGUAUUCUUUUUAGAAAAAAACAUUAACGAGAAUAAUUUAAAUUUUGAAAAGUUUAAAAAAAAAUGCUUUUGAAAUAAUUGAGUAUAAAGAUAAAAUAAUAAGAAUGUUAUGUGCUAUAUUAGAAGUACAAGGAACUACUACUAUAAAUAUUAAAGAGUUUAUAUCAAACUUAAGUACAACAGAUCAAAUGAAAGAUCUCUUAUUUGAUAGCUCUGAAAACGACUUAAAAUCAAAUAACAAAAAAACGUCCUCUAGAAAAAGAACCCUAAUAACUAUUCCUAAGUUCAAAAAAUUAAAAAAAAAAAAUGAGCUAAAUAUAUUUUCAAGCCCAAAUAAAAUAAAUGACGAGUUAAAUAAAGAAAAGAAUUUUUCUGAUUCUAUUCUAAGUUCUUAUAAAUUAUUUUUAACCGAAAAACAAAAUGAAAAUAAAAUAGAAAAAGAACAGAUAAAUGAUGAGACUUUUUCUGACAUACAAAAUAUAUCAAAAGAAAAUUCCGAUAUCGAAACAGAACUAAAUCUAAAUAAAACUGGCAGUGUAUCUUUGAUAAACUCUAAAUCAAAUAAGAGUUUUAUUGACAGCCAUAAAAAGGCAUUAGAAAAUUUCCAAAAGGAUGAUGCAAAUUUUGAAUGUACAUAUAAUUGUAAAAGCGAAAAAGGACAAAAAAGUUCUAACUUAAGCACAAAAAUUAAUGAUUUAAAUGUUGAACAAUGUCAACUGUGUUUAAUGCCUAAUACGGAAUCGCUACAUGGAAAUUUCCCUCCCCUCUUUUAUAAACUAAGUUGUGGCCACGUUUUUCAUUUAAUGUGUAUCUAUGAAACUGUUAUAAGAAGGGAAUGUAGAAAGACUUGUUGUAUUUGUCAUACUGACUUGAGUGAAGCAGAUAAAAAUGAAAUUGUAAACAAAGUUAAAUGGGAAAAAAAAGGAAAAUGAAAAAAGAAGCAAACUUUUAUUUAAAGUAAUGAAAUUACAAGCCGAAAACAAUAAUUAAAAAUAAACAAAUAAAUAAGAAACCA